GACGAACGCUGGCGGCGUGCUUAACACAUGCAAGUCGAACGGAAAGGCCCUGCUUUUGUGGGGUGCUCGAGUGGCGAACGGGUGAGUAACACGUGAGUAACCUGCCCUUGACUUUGGGAUAACUUCAGGAAACUGGGGCUAAUACCGGAUAGGAGCUCCUGCUGCAUGGUGGGGGUUGGAAAGUUUCGGCGGUUGGGGAUGGACUCGCGGCUUAUCAGCUUGUUGGUGGGGUAGUGGCUUACCAAGGCUUUGACGGGUAGCCGGCCUGAGAGGGUGACCGGGCCGAGGGGUGCGGGGGUGCGGCGCAGGCUCGGACGGGAGGAGGCAGUGGGGAAGAUUGGACAGGGGGGGAAAGCCGGGGGAGGCAAGGCGGGGGGCGGGAUGACGGCGUGGGGGUUGUAAGCCGCUUGCGCGUGUAACGAGGCGGGGGGGAGGGAAGUGGGAAAAGAAGCACCGGGAAAAGACGGGCCAGCAGCCGCGGUAAGAGUCGGAGAACAACACGUCUGAGC
rnacentral:rRNA from 1 species